UCUCUCUGUAGCUCAGUUGGUUAGAGCGCUGCACCGGAAUCGCAGGGCCGUAGGUUCAAUUCCUACCAGAGGAC
rnacentral:tRNA from 1 species